UAUCUCUGUAGAGUCUGCAUAUCAAUAAGCGGAGGAAAAGAAACUAACUAGGAUUCCCUCAGUAACGGCGAGUGAAGCGGGAAGAGCUCAAAUUUGAAAUCUUCAAGGUUUUACCUUGACGAAUUGUAGUUUAAAGAAGUGUUUUCUGUUGGAGUUUUGGUAAAAGUUCUUUGGAAUAGGACAUCAUAGAGGGUGAGAAUCCCGUAUUUGACCAGUUACUUUCCAGCUGUGUGAUACACUUUCGAAGAGUCGGAUUGUUUGGGAAUGCAGUCCAAAAUGGGUGGUAAAUUUCAUCUAAAGCUAAAUAUUGGCGAGAGACCGAUAGCGAACAAGUACCGUGAGGGAAAGAUGAAAAGAACUUUGAAAAGAGAGUUAAACAGUACGUGAAAUUGUCAAAAGGGAAGCGUUUGACACCAGUGUUGUUUUCUCGAAAAUCAAUUAAAAAGGAUUGGAUUUUGUAUUGUAAUUGACCUUUAUCAGCUUACUGCUACUCUUUUUCCUUGUCUUUUUAAUGCACUUUUCGUUUAACAAGUCAACAUCAAUUUCUUUUGUUGUAAAAGGGUCAUUGGAAGGUGGCUUUCUUUUCGGAGAAAGUGUUUAUAGCCUUUGGCCUCUGCAAUCGGAGAGAUUGAGGUCUGCAGCGUAGAUCCUUCGGGGUUAGAUAGCAUUUGUGCUAAGUUAUAGCCUUUCAUAGACAACUUGUUGACUAUGAUCAGUCAUGUAGCUUACUCGCUUAUGCUAUUUUACCUACGCUUAGGAUGUUGAUCUCUCACAGUCGAGC
rnacentral:rRNA from 1 species